UAUUAUUUUAAUAUUUCCAUUCUUAUGUUAUUCAAAAUUAUUGAAAGAUAACAUACGAGCAUUGUGUCGUUGCAAUAAAAAAAAAUAUAAAUUAAUAUAAAUUUUAUAUAAAUUAAUAUAAAUUUAUCAUUAAAGCUAUUGGUGUCACAAAAUAUAAUUGAAAUUAGAUUCAUUAAAUGCAAUUUUAAAAUAUUAUAUCAAAAUGAAGAACAGAUCAACACGUUUUAAGUGGAAAGGAUACACUUCAAAUGUGAAUGCUGAUUUUCAUGAAGUUAUAUGUUAUUUGAUAUUACUGUUACAAUUUAAAUAAUUUUUUGAAAGAGUAAGGGAGAUAGAUAUUAAUGUUUUUCUUUGUAUAGCUUGUAAAAAUGAGAAAAACGAGAAGGAAAUGGGAAUAUAUUUUCAUGAAACUAAAUUCAAGAAUGGAAUUUCCUGAAUCUAAUCUAUGGUUAUUGUAAUUCGAAGAUAUGAAUCAAAGAAAUCAUUAUACUUUCUCAAUUGUUCGACAAGAAGCAAUAUGUUGUCAAUCAUUCUUAAAAUAUGUAAAGAAGCAAGAUGUUGUAUCUAUAAUUUAUAUUAGAGCAUGAGACAAGUCAAUUGGCAAAGAAGAUAACUUCUGUGACAAAGAAAUAAAUAUAUAACGAAAAAGGAGUAAAAAGAUUAUAAGGAAGUACUCAAAAAAAGAUUGGCUGUGAAGUUUUUUAAUUAUACGUUUCAUAUAUUUGUCUUCAUAUAUUUCAAAUUUUUCUUCUAUAUUUCCACUACAUCAUUGUUUCUUUUAAAAGAAUAUUUUAUCGCUAAAGGAGAAGAAAAAAAGAUAAUUAGUUUUAAUUCGAGAAUCAAGUAAUCUUAAUUAGAAAGUGUUUGAAAUUAGUUUUUCCAAUCAAGUCAUAACGCUAUUAAUCUAUAUAUAUUAAUUUAUACAAAUAUAUAUAUUAAUAUAUACAUAUCUAUGUGACAUUUAAUUAAUUAUUAAAUUACAUUAAUUCUUGAUGAUUAUCUUACACUAUUUCUUACGAACAUAAAGGAAGAGAUAUAAACUAAGAGAAUGUUUGAAUUGUCAGAAACAAGCGUAAAUAAUCUUCUAAUGCAAACCUACAAGUAAUUUCAUUUAUUUUAUAUAUAUAUAUAUAUAUAUAUAUAUAUAUAUAUAUAUAUUUCGAUGUAAAUCAUUUCAAAAGUAUCCUAAUUGUUAUUAAUAUAUUACUUUAUUUUCUUCUUCGUUUGUUGAUUAAAUUCUUUACAAAAUUUCUAAUUUCGUGACUGAAUGUAGAAAAAAUAGCAGUUCUGUCAUUUGUAAGUUGUUGUGCAAAAUUCUACAAAAUAUAUAGAAAUUAUAAAGUCAAUCAUAACUAAAAAAAUAUAUUCAAAUUAGAAAUCGUUUGUACUUGAUUAUAAAUGUGUUCUAUGAUUGUCCGCAUAAAACGUAAUGCCAGAUAGGAAUUGCGAGUCACUGUUACGUUUUUCGCAACUACUUUUGGGUUGCUAUUUCUAUAUAAUAAAUUAAGAGGAAUAAUACUAAAGUUUCUUCAUGUGUGAUUUUAAAGCCACUAACGGAGUUCGUCGAUAACUCAACUUGCUCUGGACCUUUGGUCUGGGAAUGAUAGAAAAAAAUUAUUUUCGAAAGAAUACAAUUUUUUCAUCCACUAUCUGAUUUCUCUACCUGAUUUUAUUGUUUAUUGUUAGUGUAAAAGUGAACUUCGUAAGCAACACAUUCACUUGACGGAAAGAAACAACGCUCGACUUAAACGCCGAUAUUUAAUUGAUUGAAUGCAAUUUUAAUUCAAUAAAAUCGAGAGUAUAUUUAAAGAUUACUAGAAUUUGUAUAUGCAUUUAAAAAAAAUCAUAAUUAUAAAGCGUGAUAUGAAAAUUUAGUAAUAGACUUUCGUGAAAAUUCAAAUAAAUAUUUCAAAUUCGAUUGUUUUUGGCGAUUAUAUUUAAAGACGAUGAAUCAAGGAUAGGAGAAAACAUUACGAAAUAUUGCGAAAACUAAUCAAUGCUUCACACAAAUCUUGUUUUUUUAAUGGAUAAAUUUUUAAUAAUACAUGUAAAGAAUUAAUUUUAAUUCAUUUUAUGUAUUAAAUCGUACGACAUAUUUUUUGUCGAUUGCGUAAAGAUACGUUUCUUUAUUAUUUUCUGUUCUUCUUUUGUCUUUUUUUUUAUUAUUUUUUUUAUUGUCAAUUUUUUUUAUUUUAUUUCAAUUGUCCAAUACAAUUGUAAGAUAUUAGAACUGAAGCGAUUUCUCUAGAUCAAAUUAUAUGAUGAUUUUUCAAUUGUGAAAGUCAGAUUGUAACAAGCCACGUUUUGUACUUAAUUUCAUUUAAGUUUAAAUCAUCCAAGUUGUAUAUUUGUUUCAUAAAACGAUUUAUUAAGUUUUUUCUAUUUUUGUUUUAAAUUUAUAACUUUUAAAUAACAAUGAGAUCGAUGUAAACUUCAACGAUGAUGAUUUUGAAAGUUAUUUUAGCUAUAGUGACAAAAUAAAAAACGACUUGUCUUUCUUUAAAUAUAUACAAAUUUAUAAAAAAAAAUAAUAUAUGUAUAUAUAUAAAUAUAUAUAUAUAUAUUAGAUAUAUACAUUAGGUAUAUAUAUAUUAUUUUGAUAUUUAUAUAUUAGACAUUUAUAUAUGAAAUAUUAUAGAACAUAUAAACGUUUGAUUAGAGACCGAUAAUGAUCCUUUGGAAAAGUUCCUCGAUCUUUGAAUUGAUCCAUAUGAAUGAAUCCUCAUUAAAUGAUCUUCAAAGUAUUGCUGAGAUUGCUGCUUUACUUAUCGUUGAGAUUCAAUUUAUAUAUAUGACAUAUUAAAAUGCUAAAUAAAUAAUAUUUUUUUUAUAUACACUCGAAUUUUUUUAAUUAUAAAUUCUGAUAAAUGCUAUUUGAAAAAUAUUUUCAAAGAGAUAAAGAAAAAAAAAAUUAAAAAUUAACUUAAUCAUAUCUCGACACGUUGUAAAAAUUCUAGAAUGAGAUAUUCAAUCCUUUUUUUUUUCAAUUGCAACAAAUUCUUUAAAUUCCAAAUUGUGAAAGGAAGGACCGCAAACGCGUUAAUAAAAAGUCGCGGAAUAUGAUCUCAUUUUUGUCUUUUUAACGUAACGUGUCUAUGUAUUUGAGAGAAGUUUCAAAAUAAGGGAAAAGAUGAAGUUGAACAAUAGAUGAAGACGCUCUACUACGUCUAGCAAUAUUUGUAACUAACAGUGUGGGUGCGGGAACAGAAGAAGAUGAUUGUAUAGAUUGAUUUGUAUAGAUUGUAUGAUCUUAUAGCGAGUUGAAAUAGAAAGAGACUCUCUUUUUUUUGCUCAAAGCAUUAUGGUUUCUAACAUUCAGAUCUCUAGAUUUCUCGCACUAUUUUGUGACGUGAUCAUCCAUUCGUAUUUCGUUUAAUUUACCCUUAUUUAGAUUAUCAUUUGCGUGACGCAAUCUCAGCAACAAGUAAGCUAUAAAAGGUUGGAAAGAUUUCGUGAUUACUAAAAUAACAAAAAACAAAAAGAAGGAUGCAUUUUCACUAUACAAUUUCCAAGUACAUAAGCGUAAGUGAUAUCGUUGAACUGAAAUUUACACAUAAAAAAAAAAAAGAGAGAAAUCUUGAUACCGGAAAUAAUUAAUUUAGCAUAAACCACAUCCCAAUAUGCGGUAUCUCAUCAGAAUGCGAUUGAUCAUCAGCAAAAAACAUAGUCUGAAGCGAAUAUUUAUCCAAGUACUUACUUAAAUAUUUGUAACAACAGCAGAUCAGAUAGUACCUACAUGUAUGUAUGUUAUAUAUGUUCUCGUACCUUUAUUCUCACGAAACUCACAAAUAAUUAUAAUUAGAAGUACGUGAUAUCUACAUGAAUAUAUAUAGAGGGUAGUGACCAACAAAAAUAGAUCCGAUAUUUUAAAGGAUAGUAAUCACUAGAAUUGAAUAAAAAAUAUCUAAUUAACAUGAAUCGUAGAAUCAACUUAUUGAAUAUAAAUUAAUUUUAUUAUUUCUGUGCAUUCGAUAUCGUAAGUCUCUUGGCAAAUUUAUUGAAUCUAUACAGAGGAAUUUGCAUAGAAAUAAAUUAAUUCUAGGUUAACUAUGAAAAUGAGCAAAAACUAAUGUAAUAAUAGAAUAUUUAUGUUUCGGAAAAGAUCAUAUAUGUAAAUAUUAAUGUAUACAAUGGCUGAAUCAUAAAAGGCGAGCGAUUGAAAUCAUUUUUUUGUUACUGGAUCGAUCGAAAAUAUUUUUAGUUAAUAAAUAUGGUAAAAUGAAAUUAUAAUAAUUUUUUCGACAUUUUCGAGAUGCCCUUCAAUUUUUCAAAGAUGAACGUAUAAUUUUUGUACACCUACUAUUUUAGAGGAUAUUGUGAAAGAUUCGACAAGUAUCGCAAUAAAUGUUUUUCUUUUUUUUUCUAUACGAACCGAAGAAACGUUAAAAAAAUAUUCUAAUUGUAACAAAUUUAUAUGAUACUAUCAAUGAAGAAUAUCGCGCGGUAUACUGUUCACUUUCCGGAAUUUUUUGAUAUGUAGAUUGAUAUCAAUUCUUAUUGAUUGAUUUUUUUCAUAUACUGCUUGUAAAUAUUUUUUCCUAUACAUUCAAACACAUUUAAUAAGAAUUCUAACGCAAAAAUAUAUGUUAUAGAAGAUUGAAGAUACACGCUUAUCUAUCAGUACAAAUGUCAUAGAAAGACCAAAAAGAGUCAUAUCUUUAUCAUUUAUGAGUGUAUUACAGUCGAUUGAUAUUAUUUUAAACAUCGUUUUUAUUAAGAUAAAGGAUAUUUGUUAAAUAUUUUUUUUUUUUUGAUUGAAACAGGAAAAACAAUACAUUUGCAAUGAUAUAUAUCGAAUUUGUCUCAAUAUCAAUCGAAAGAUAUGUGAAUAAAAAUUACGAGUUCAUCUAUUAAAAAAAUAGUGAUGAUCUUGAAGAUUCGAAAAAAGAAAAGAAGCUGAUUAAACAUUUACUAUAAUUUGAACCGUGUUGUAUAAAAUUUUCGAUCGAUCCAAUAACGACAAAUUUAUCUAAAUCGAUCAUGUUUCGCGCGUAUACGAUUUACCCGGUAUAUAUGCACAUAGAUAUGUAUGUAGAAGCAUAUUGUAAUUAUCUUUUUUCUUCUCAGCUUGUUCUUUCGAAAUAAAUGCAACGAUCGUCGAUCUAACGAUAAUUACACUUUCCUUUUUAUUUUAUGGCAUUUUAGUUGCGUAAUUAGCAAGUGUUAUAGUUAACAUGAUUACUUUUUUAUAGUUGUAAUAGAUAAUGAUCAUAUGUAUCAUCGCAUCAGCGAAAAGCUUUAUCGAAUAGAAUUAAUAAUCUAAAAUAGCAACAUCGAAUAGAAUUAUCAGUCUAAUUGUAGACACGGUUGAAGAUAGUUGCAUCAUAGAGAGGAGAAAGAAGUUAUUAAAAUCAAUAUGUACGAUGGAGUGAUAGAGAUUUCUAGAUUUUUAUUUUUACGUUUAUAUGUUCAGAUCGAUUUAGAAAAACAAAAAUUAUUUAACUGUUAUGAAAAAUGGGCUGAUAAGAAAAACUUGUUGUUGAAAUCGAUUUGAAAAUUGAUGAAUCAAAGGAAUAUGAGAUUAUUGAAAUGUAAUUGUCCGUCGAGGACGUCGACGUGUUCACGUCUUAUUCAAAAGUUCUAUAAUUCUAAAAAUAUUUUCAUAACCGAUGGUACAUGAUUUACAGAGGAAUUAUUCAUCGAAAAAUUGAUGAGAGAAUAUUUUAAUAUCAACUACCCUUACGUUUUGAUACGUACGAAAGAAGGAAAAAACGUUCUCCAACGAAUGAAGAAACUUAAAGUUUCGGUUGUAUAUUUGUAUACAUUCUCCAAAACGAAAGGCAGUAUCGACUAUGAAAGAUGUAAUCAUGAUGACGCAUAACAAUGGCAUAACUUGAUUUAGCUGAUGAAUUUUUCAAUAAAAUUGACUCAAGAGAAAAAUAUGAGUCAAGAUUCAGUUGACCGCCGCCAUUUGGCUGUGCCUAUUAUUUCCGUCUCUUUUUAUAUUCGACCAAUUUUAUACUAUAUAUGGUGGGACAAAUUUUCUCUACAUAAAUUAUUUACGCUAUUUUCAAUCUUAUCUUUGUUAAUUUUUAAUUCAACGAUGUCCAAAUAUUCUACGGAAAAAAUGUGCGUAUACGAAUGAGAGAUGUAAUUUUUAGUGUGAGCUGUUUUUUCCCUAAGGAGACAUAGAGAUGAUUAAAAAAUUAUUUCGAUCUUUGCCGAUGUAAUGAAAUGUUUUUUAUAGUAGUUGAUAUAAGUAAUCAUUCGGGAUCUUUACUAUUUGAAUUUUAUUUAUAGUUAUUGUUCUCUUUGAGAGUGUAAUUUUACCUAAUAAUUAGAGAUAAUAUGUCUUUUAUAGACCCUAAAAUUAUUCUAAUAGGAUAGGUGUAUAUGCAUAAGGUGUUCAUUAAUGUAUACAGAAAGCGAGAGUAACGCUGCAAUCAUUGGCAUUUAAAUGGCGUUAUUUUUAAAAAUUAUAAAAUUGAAAAAAAAAUAAGAGAAAUAAACUUGUACACUUUCUAAAAAAAGAAA